ensembl:lncRNA
GUAGGAGGAGCAGGUUAAAGCAAACCGUAAAGCUGCUAGUGUACCUCACUUUGCAGUUUACCCACUAGCUCGAGGGAAAUUUCAUCCCUUUGGAGAAUAUGCAUUGUAUGUUGAGCUCGUAGCAUAGAGUAUUCUUUUGCUCUCAUUUCCUAUAAACCACCUACUGCAUUUUUAUGUUCCACAAUCACAUACACCAAAACAGUGUUAAGCAAAUUAGCAUCAAGCUAAAUAAAAGGCAUAUCAACCAACUUAGCAGGCAGCUUUUAGGUGCUUCAGUACCGAGGAUGGUUUUGUCAGUAGCCCUGAUUACUGCAAUGUGAAGGAGAGCUGAUGGAGAAAGGCACUGAUUCAGCACAUCUCCUAGGGCAGCCUACAUGAAUGGAUAUGUGUAGAAAUCCUGUAAUGUGACAGAACUGACCUUCUUCUCUAUUCCUUUGUGAGAAUGUGCCAUGCUUAAAUCACUUCCUGAAUUUUUUGAAGUCAAAACUGGAUGCCCCAAAGGAGAAACAAACUACUCAUAUUGUUCAGUUGUGAUGCUUGAAGUGGAUUAAGAAUCAGCCAG